GACGAACCACACAAACGUUAUUCGGAAUUACUGGGCUUAAAGGGUGCGUAGGCUGCGCAGAAAGUUGGGUGUGAAAUCCCUCGGCUCAACCGAGGAACUGCGCCCAAUACUACUGUGCUCGAGGGAGACAGAGGUGAGCGGAACUUAGGGUGGAGCGGUGAAAUGCGUUGAUAUCCUAAGGAACACCCGUGGCGAAAGCGGCUCACUGGGUCUCUUCUGACGCUGAGACACGAAAGCUAGGGUAGCGAACGGG
rnacentral:rRNA from 1 species